UUCUAAACUUCUCGCGCGCCUCCUCUAAUUUUUUCUUCACUUUCUUCGAGUGUGUCGCUGUGAACUCGUCGGCGUCGCUCCAUCUUCCAAAUGUCGUCCGUCGAACGUCGCUCCGUUGCCGAGCAUUGUUCUUCUUCAGCUUGGUCAAGGUUGCUCCGUCGCCGUCGUUUCGAGCCGUCGUGUAGUAUCCUUUUAUGCAAAAUCUAGGGUUCGGUAUUUAAAGUAUUUCAUCAAUUUUUCUCAAUUUCGUUUUCCCCCCAAAUCGAUCGUUAUUCCUGAUGAUCUAUCACAUCUUCUGUUGGUUUCUUCUUUUCUGGCUACCGGUCUUUUUUUAUUUGAGGCUAUGAUAUUGAGGAACUAAAGGAGGAAGGAGAGUUGAAGAGUGGGGAAGAGGGAAAUUCGGGUGUUAUUGUUAGUAAUUUGGAGAAGAGCAUUGUUAGGUCUGAUGUGAAAAGAAUCGUUGUUGGAGUUGGGGCUCGUGUACUUUUCUAGAAAUUUGUCUCUUAUCUCUUUCACAAAAAUUUUUCACAUAGAAGAUGUUGAAGCUGAUAUUAUUUUUUUUCACUCACGAAGUGCUGCUGCUUGAUUCCACACCAUUGUGCACACACAAAGCUCAUGUUUUUCCUGAUUUCUUUGCAGAUCACAAAGUUUGGAGUUGAAGAGUCUGGCCACCGAUGGCAGAGUCAUCUGUAGAUGGGUUUUUCUAUUGAUACUAUUGCGGCUCACUGUAACACAAAUUCCCUUUUCCUGGUCUAAAUUGCUCGGCACACCAACUGGCAAGGAGCAUCAGAUAAUUUCUUGAGCUGCAGCUACUGCCUUUGUGGUUCAUUAUCUUUUCCACAUUGCUCGACAUCCAUGGUUCAAACAGGGGUAAAAUAUUCAACUAAACACAAGUUUCUUAGCUAAAGAUGCAACACAACGAGGUAAUAUGGCAGGUCAUCCGCCACAAUUAUUGCAGUUUCAUGGCCAAGUAGAUAAAUCUGAAAUGCGCCUUGCAAUGGAGCCAUAUGGGAAUUGGGUGUCAAUGCAUCUUCAUAUGUUAUGUUAAAUUAAUUUGUAACUCACAAUUUUUCUUGUACUUGAUCAUUGUUUUUUUUUCUCGACAGCUUGGUCAUAGAAUCGAUAAUGAGGUUGAUACACGAAGAUCAUACUCACAGGUCGAGUUAGAUGAGGUGCAAGUUGAGUUAGCUGACUUUCUGGGUUCGUACAUGUGAUUGCGCUUAUUUGUGAUUCUGAAGUAGGAAAUUUUUUGCUGUGGCUGAUUUUUUGAAUUGUUCAUAUGGACGGGGUUGAUUGGUAUACAUACAAGAGACUUUGUUGUUUUUGAAACUUUGUUGAUAGGUUAUUUGUUCAUAGGUGAGUUGUUCAUAUGGAUGAUAAGUGAAUUGUUCAUAAGAGUUCAAUUGUUCUGAAACUUUGCUGUUGUAGCCAUUUUGAAACUCUGAUGGAAUUGUAUAUUGGUUUUGUAAAUGAUAGGAAUAUUUGCAAAAUUUUAGAAAUGAUAUGGUGAAAAGUUUUAUA